GCUCCAGUAGCAUAGUUGGUUAAUGCGUAGUGCUUAUAGUUUACAGCUAUACCUGAGUCACGCUAAGAUCGCGAGUUCGAUCCUCGCCUGGAGCA